rnacentral:rRNA from 1 species
AUCCUGGCUUAGGAUGAACGCUAGCGACAGGCCUAACACAUGCAAGUCGAGGGGCAGCGCGGAAGUAGCUUGCUAUUCUGGCGGCGACCGGCGCACGGGUGCGUAACAGGUGUGCAAUCUGUCCAUAGUCGGGGAAUAGCCCAGCGAAAGUUGGAUUAAUGCUCCAUGUGAAGAGAAGCCGCAUGACUUUUCUUUGAAACGUAAGGACUAUGGGUGAGCACGCUUCUGAUUAGAUAGUUGGUGAGGUAACGGCUCACCAAGUCGACGAUCAGUAGGGGUUCUGAGAGGAAGGUCCCCCACAUUGGAACUGAGACACGGUCCAAACUCCUACGGGAGGCAGCAGUGAGGAAUAUUGGUCAAUGGGCGAGAGCCUGAACCAGCCAAGUCGCGUGAAAGGAUGAAGGUUCUAUGGAUUGUAAACUUCUUUUGUCCGAGGGUAAAAAAGGUCACGUGUGACUUCUUGCAAGUAUCGGACGAAUAAGCAUCGGCUAACUCCGUGCCAGCAGCCGC